rnacentral:rRNA from 1 species
GUAGGGAAUAUUGGGCAAUGGUCGGAAGACUGACCCAGCCAUGCCGCGUGCAGGAAGACGGCCCUCUGGGUUGUAAACUGCUUUUAUCUGGGAAGAAAAAGGCCAUGCGUGGCAAAUUGCCGGUACCAGAUGAAUAAGCACCGGCUAACUCCGUGCCAGCAGCCGCGGUAAUACGGAGGGUGCGAGCGUUGUCCGGAUUUAUUGGGUUUAAAGGGUGCGUAGGCGGCUGAUUAAGUCAGCGGUGAAAGAGUUCGGCUUAACCGGAGCAGUGCCGUUGAUACUGGUUGGCUUGAGUGUCGGAGGGGUACAUGGAAUUGAUGGUGUAGCGGUGAAAUGCAUAGAUACCAUCAGGAACACCGAUAGCGAAGGCAUUGUACUGGCCGACAACUGACGCUGAUGCACGAAAGUGUGGGGAUCGAACAGGAUUAGAAACCCUAGUAGUCC